rnacentral:rRNA from 1 species
AACGAACGCUGGCGGCAUGCUUAACACAUGCAAGUCGAACGUGAUCCCUGCCUUCGGGUGGGGUGAAAGUGGCGGACGGGUGAGUAACGCGUGGGAACCUGCCCAGUGGUAGGGGAUAACCGCGGGAAACUGCGGCUAAUACCCUAUAAGCCCUUAGGGGGAAAGAUUUAUUGCCAUUGGAGGGGCCCGCGUCGGAUUAGGUAGUUGGUGGGGUAAAGGCCUACCAAGCCUUCGAUCCGUAGCUGGUCUGAGAGGANGAUCAGCCACACUGGGACUGAGAUACGGCCCAGACUCCUACGGGAGGCAGCAGUGGGGAAUAUUGGACAAUGGGCGCAAGCCUGAUCCAGCAAUGCCGCGUGAGUGAAGAAGGCCUUAGGGUUGUAAAGCUCUUUCGGCGGGACGAUGAUGACGGUACCGCAGAAGAAGCCCCGGCUAACUCCGUGCCAGCCGCCGCCGU